GGAAUUCAGUUCAGAUGGUGGCAACCAUAUCAUUCUUCCCAGGGAGAAGAUGUAUGGGCUAUUGAUGAGAUUAUCAUGACGUCUGUACUUUUCAACAGCAUUAGUCUUGACUUUACCAAUCUUGUGGAGGUUACUCAGUCUCUGGGAUUCUACCUUGGAAAUGUUCAGCCAUACUGUGGCCACGACUGGACCCUUUGGCUGGAGUGCAAUGGCGCGAUCUCAACUCACUGCAACCUCCGCCUCCCGGGCUCAAGCAACACAUUUUCUAUUUGAUAGCCUCAGAUGCUUGUUUUUACAGAUGUUCUUUCUUAGUCCUGGAGACUUUAAAGAAAAUAAAGGAUUAAAGCAAAUAAGGUGUAAAGAUGUAGAACAAAAUGAGAUUUCUUAGAAUUUUAUGCUUCUGAACAUUUAAAUUGACCUGAAUUGACAGUAAUUCAAACUGAUCAUGUACCAUAAACUAUAUCCUUCAAGUUUGUAUAGAAGAGUUUUUUCCUAACACUUUUAAUAUAACAAAGAAUCAUAUCAUGAAUGCAAGUCCUGUAUCAUGUUUAUUUUCAUACAUAGUUAGCAUCUGCUCAGAUAAAUGCAAAAGUUGCUGAGCAUUUUAAUUUAACACUUGCAUUGAAUGCAUGAUAACAGCA
rnacentral:sRNA from 1 species